rnacentral:rRNA from 1 species
GACGAACCGAGCGAACGUUGUUCGGAAUCACUGGGCUUAAAGGGCGCGUAGGCGGGCUGUCAAGUCUGGGGUGAAAUCCCGCGGCUCAACCGUGGAACUGCCUCAGAUACUGACGGUCUCGAGGGGGAUAGGGGCGAGCGGAACUGAUGGUGGAGCGGUGAAAUGCGUUGAUAUCAUCAGGAACACCGGUGGCGAAAGCGGCGUACUGGGUCUCUUCUGACGCUGAGGUACGAAAGCUAGGGGAGCGAACGGG